rnacentral:rRNA from 1 species
AUAUCAAUAAGCGGAGGAAAAGAAACUAACAAGGAUUCCCCUAGUAACUGCGAGUGAAGCGGGAUGAGCUCAAAUUUGAAAUCUGGCGGUUCCGCCGUCCGAGUUGUAACCUGGAGAAGCGUUUUCCGUGCCGGACCGUGUACAAGUGCCUUGGAACAGGACGUCAUAGAGGGUGAGAAUCCCGUCUUUGACACGGACCACCGGUGCUCUGCGAUGCGCUCUCGAAGAGUCGAGUUGUUUGGGAAUGCAGCUCAAAACGGGUGGUAAAUUCCAUCUAAAGCUAAAUAUUGGCGAGAGACCGAUAGCGAACAAGUACCGUGAGGGAAAGAUGAAAAGCACUUUGGAAAGAGAGUAAAACAGUACGUGAAAUUGUUGAAAGGGAAACGCUUGAAGUCAGUCGCGUCUGCCGGAACUCAGCCUUGCUUCUGCUUGGUGCACUUUCCGGUUCGACGGGCCAGCAUCGGUUUCGGGCGGUGGACAAAUGGCGUGGGAAGGUGGCGGCUCCGGCCGCGUUAUAGCCCAUGUCGCCAACGCCGACCGGGACCGAGGAAUCCGGCGCAAGCCUGGGAUGCUGGCGUAAUGGCUUUAAACGA